rnacentral:lncRNA from 1 species
CAGUCGCUUUGCUGUGCUACUAUAUUCGUGUGUCCCAAAAUUGCGGCAGAAAUAACUGACAUCAAUGCUUCUACGUUUUUCGUCUAUUUAAUAAGUAAAUAAAAUAUCUUGCGAACUUUAGAACUAUAUCAGUUCGAAACCAGCAAAGCAGUGCAUGCACCUGAUAUAAAAAAAUGUAAAGGCCGUGAAAUUAACACGUUGAGGUCAAAUAUUUUGAUGAAUCUUUGGCGUUCAAUAACCU